rnacentral:rRNA from 1 species
CCUACGGGAGGCAGCAGUGGGGAAUAUUGCACAAUGGGCGCAAGCCUGAUGCAGCCAUGCCGCGUGUAUGAAGAAGGCCUUCGGGUUGUAAAGUACUUUCAGCGGGGAGGAAGGCGAUAAGGUUAAUAACCUUGUCGAUUGACGUUACCCGCAGAAGAAGCACCGGCUAACUCCGUGCCAGCAGCCGCGGUAAUACGGAGGGUGCAAGCGUUAAUCGGAAUUACUGGGCGUAAAGCGCACGCAGGCGGUCUGUCAAGUCGGAUGUGAAAUCCCCGGGCUCAACCUGGGAACUGCAUUCGAAACUGGCAGGCUAGAGUCUUGUAGAGGGGGGUAGAAUUCCAGGUGUAGCGGUGAAAUGCGUAGAGAUCUGGAGGAAUACCGGUGGCGAAGGCGGCCCCCUGGACAAAGACUGACGCUCAGGUGCGAAAGCGUGGGGAG